UACGUAGGGUCCGAGCGUUAAUCGGAAUUACUGGGCGUAAAGCGUGCGCAGGCGGUUUUUGUAAGCCAGAUGUGAAAUCCCCGGGCUUAACUUGGGAACUGCAUUUGGGACUGCAAGGCUGGAGUACGGCAGAGGGAGGUGGAAUUCCACGUGUAGCAGUGAAAUGCGUAGAGAUGUGGAGGAACACCGAUGGCGAAGGCAGCCUCCUGGGCUAGUACUGACGCUCAUGCACGAAAGCGUGGGGAGCAAACAGG
rnacentral:rRNA from 1 species